rnacentral:rRNA from 1 species
CCGGGUGGAUGAGUGGCGAACGGGUGAGUAACACGUGAGUAACCUGCCCCUGACUUCGGGAUAAGCCCGGGAAACUGGGUCUAAUACCGGAUACGACUGCCGGACGCAUGUCUGGUGGUGGAAAGUUUUUUCGGUUGGGGAUGGGCUCGCGGCCUAUCAGUUUGUUGGUGAGGUAAUGGCUCACCAAGACGACGACGGGUAGCCGGCCUGAGAGGGCGACCGGCCACACUGGGACUGAGACACGGCCCAGACUCCUACGGGAGGCAGCAGUGGGGAAUAUUGCACAAUGGGGGAAACCCUGAUGCAGCGACGCAGCGUGCGGGAUGACGGCCUUCGGGUUGUAAACCGCUUUCAGCAGGGAAGAAGCGCAAGUGACGGUACCUGCAGAAGAAGUACCGGCUAACUACGUGCCAGCAGCCGCGGUAAUACGUAGGGUACGAGCGUUGUCCGGAAUUAUUGGGCGUAAAGAGCUCGUAGGUGGUUGGUCACGUCUGCUGUGGAAACGCAACGCUUAACGUUGCGCGUGCAGUGGGUACGGGCUGACUAGAGUGCAGUAGGGGA